CCGAAUUGUCAACAAGAGUUGUUGCUGGUCCUCAAACAAGGGGGCACGUGCACGCUCUGUUCACACAUCCACUCACACCCUGUGCACCCUCUGUAGUUCUAUGGUCGGGGGGCUUGUCCUCCUGCUGUGGUUCUGCUUCUUUACACACACACUGUAACAAGUCUCAUGGAAUGCAUGCCGCGUUUAACGCAAUACAAUA
rnacentral:misc_RNA from 1 species